rnacentral:snRNA from 1 species
GACUAGGUGCACGGGCAUUAUCUGCGCGCGUGAGGCUACAGCCGAUGCCAGAUUUUUGCUAGGU